CCCAAAGCAAAAUCACCAAAACCUAAACUACAUUCUGAUCUCUUCAGCCGCCAAUCCCACCCCCACAUCCCCUUCCCCACUUUCCCAAUUCUUUCUUCAACCAUGGUUACACUAAAAAAUGCGAGAACGACAGAGAAGAAGAGUGAGAGAGAACCCCAUAGCUUAUUUAUUCUUGAGCAGAAGAGUGAGUGAAAAUUUGAAGAUUUUGAAGUGGUAAUUUUGGGAGGAGCCAUAGUUCAUGGACUGUAACAACAAAGCAACAUUACAAAAUUGGGAUGAAGAUCCUUUAAGAAGUUUAAAAAGUCUACAGGCAGAUUCGUGAAGUUAGAGCAGCAAUGACAAGUUAAGACUAAAGCUAAGGUGCAGUAGUCGGUGCUACUUAGGGAAGAGAGAAAGGCGAAGACGAUGCUACUUUGUGUCUCAAGCAAGAUGGUGUUGUAGAAGACUUACGUAUCGUUCAUUUUUUGAAAUUUACAAUUAUGUGCAACUUGAAACCUAUUGUGGAAUGUAAUUUUUUUUAAUUCUUAGCUACAUUGUAACAAUUCUUAUAUGUAUCUAUUUUGGAAUCUAAAAUAUUUGAAUUUUAGCUGCAGGAUAAAAUUCUUGUGACCCAUUAUUUGUGGCAAAUUCUUCAAUUAUAGCAAUAAAAAUUUAGAAUUUGGGGCUA